AACAUUUUGAAAUUUCUAAUUAAUUUAUUAAUUUAAAUAAUAUAACUAUUUUAAAAUUUCUAACUGGAACUAUAAUUAUAAUUAUAAUUAUUUUAACUUUCACAAGUUUCUUAUUAUUUUUAAGCUUAAAUCAUUAAUUUAUUAAUUUAAAUAAUAUAACUAUCUUGAACAUUCUAAUUGGAACUAGAAUUAUAAUUAUUUGAACUUUCACAAGUGAAGACCAAUUCUUAUUUUAAUGUGACAUAAGAGGUUUUAAACUCUAUAGUUUCACUUUACUCAUUCAUUCCAAGUUGUAUCAGUUAUAAUUUUUGUUUCAUCCUCUAGGUAUAGUAUUUUUUGGUUGUUUCAAUUGUUUGCGUUCUCUUCAUCACUUUCAUGUUGAUCUGAACAUUCUCUUUUCAGUGGUUUAAUCACUUUGUGCAGGUCAAACAAUAUUAUUGGUUGGAGUUGUUUGCAUUAGCGGCUAUAUGAACAGCAUCAAAAUAGAAAACAUGUGAUAUAUUUAAUAAGUUUAGAGAGUUGCCUAUGUAAUCAUGUUAUAAACAUGUGUUAAUGGUUUAGUUUCUAAAACGGCUAAAAUAGAUAUAUUCUUAAUGAAUAAUUAGAUUUAUCAUUAUAUAUUAACUAUAAUAAUAAAACUAUCAUUAUAUUUUUUAAAAAUUAAAUGUAAACUUAUGAAAUAUUAAAAUAAGUUAAUGUAUAUAUUUAUCAAGUAAACCAAUGAAAUAUUACCAUUAUCUCAAUUCGUUUUUAAAAAAGUUUUCUUCUAAAUUAUCAUCGAACUUUAUUUUUUAUUUAAUUUUUAUUUAUUUUUUUUACUUGGAUAUGUGUGUUUCAAUGUUUUUUUGGUAAUUUAAUACAUUUUCUGAAUCAGAAAUACAAAGUAGAUUAAGAAAGACCAAAAGUUCACAUUUUUCGUUGUAAAGAAAAAAAGUUCAUAUUUUUACUUUACUUUAUUGUAUGCAAUAUUUGAUAUGCAGUUAUACUCUCAUGGUUUCAUAGUUUUAUGGCUUUGCUUUGUGUUAAGAAGACGUAGAUCAAAAUCAAGUCAAAUAAAACUAAAAUGAUUAAGAAUAUAAAAAAUAAGUUAUCAUCAUCAUGUUUAAAUCAUAAUAGAUAUAUUAAUAAUUAUUAGUAAAACGAUUAUGCUCGCAUGUACGGGUAAAACAUCUAGUUUAAAUUAAAACUCAAAAGGAGUAUGGGUAAAUAGGCAUUUAAAUCUUCAACUAUUUGAAACCGAGAAAAUUGGAGCAGUGGGUCGUAGCCGAGUUAUCAAAUUGGGCUUUGGGUCGCAACGAGUUUUUAUUUGCGGAAUCGCAACAUUUUUUGGAGACUAUAAUUGUAAUACUUCUGGUCAAGGGCAUCAAGUCAACGCAAAGUCAACAACUUAGGAUCAACCAACAUUUGGAGUAUUAUGUUAUAUAAAGUUAUGACUAGAGGUUCGGUCGAAGAGUUUUGAAGAACUUUCGAGCAAAAACCAGAUUUUAUCGCAAAGAUAUAAUCUGAGCUACGAAAGGGUAAUGGUCGAGCAUGGAGAAUUUCCAAAGUUAACAAUUCAAGUAAGACUCAAUCUCAAUCAUCAUGUUGGGUUAGUGGAAGACAUUUUGUUGAAUCAUAAUCAAGUUUGUAUGGGCCCAUAAGGAGAUGGUCAAUAAAGGUUUCAAAGAUGGUUUACGCAGAAGUUUGGUAACGGUCAGAAGACGAAGGUGACUACUAUGAAUCCAGGAGUUAUGGAGUCAAUUUAGGAACCUUGUUUAAGGUAUUUGAAGACAUAUUUGAGAGUUUGGCCAAGACAAAACCAAGAUGGUCCGGAGGAAGACAGUUUUGGCCGAUAUGGUCAAAAUGAGCUAGUUAAGGGCAAACGAAGCCAAAUUGGUUGUGCAAACACGGGAAAGGAGUUCAAAAGAAUGUUUUACAUAUUUCCUCAACUUUUGGAAAUGGUCAACUUGGAAGUCAAAGCCAACUAAAGUCAAAGGAGAGAGAAUGAACCCCAUUGGUCCAUAUAACCCAUUCGAUCAACCAAUAGGAGCAUGCCACAUGAGGGGACCAAAUUCCUUCCAUCCUGGACAUGGUGUGGAAUAAAUCAAGGAGUUUUAUGGUGAAGAAAUUAAUGGCAAAAGACAUCUUGAAAACAAGAAGACAUGGAGAUACCAUUUGUUUCUCAAAAUGGGCUACAAUUGGUAAUGAGAGCUAUGGGCUGAAAAAGGCUUUUAUACAUGAAACCCAUGACAUCUAAGCUUUAUUUAGGACCUAGGGGAAGUAUUGGAUUGGGCUGGAGAACAAGAAAAACAGAUUAGAAGAUUGAAGACCCAAAGGUGUCAAACUGGACCAUUUUUGUGGUUUGGUUAAGGGGAAGAAGGCUAAUGGGAACAUAUCAGGCACAAAAACGACCAUGCAGUGGUUCUUCCCCUACAUACUGUGGUCUACAGGAGCAAGGUAGACAAGCCUAAGGAGUAGGUUUCACAUGUGUUAGGCUUAAAAACUAUUUUGGGGCUAAAAAGUGGUGAGGUAGAAACUAAACUUGGGAAUCAAGUUUCGGACUGAUUUUUGGUGCAGUUACCGUACAUAGGAAGGUGGUUUAUCUUCUAGAAGAUGAGACGUAAAUGGUUUGAUUCAGUGUACUUUUUUGCAUGCAUGCAUUUGGAGUGUAUUUUGGUGACAAGUGGAACUACACAUGUCAAGUGUUCCCAAUCCACUCUUUGGCUAUAAAUAUGAUCCGUAGGAUGAGUUUUAGAAGUUUAGAAUCCCCUUGUGUCUUCUAUCUCAGUUGAUCUUAUGGUUUGUUCUUGAGAGAGGAAAUGGCUAAAACCGAUAAAAAUUUCUAAUUUGUGUGAGGAGAGUGUAGGAGGCUUUUCCGUGUGUUGAUCCUUCACCUAGGAUCUGUUUUGCUGUGCUAGGAGAGGUGGCCUUUUGCUUUUGGAGGUGUUGUGCAGCUUGUGAAGACCUAGGUGGGUUUCCUGCGUGUGUGUGUGCAGGUUGGAGAGCUUGAAAUGUUAGGGUUCUUGAGCUUGAACCCCUUUGCGGUUUGUGUGUGUGUGUUUGGGAGUUGGUAACCAUAGAGGGUCGGGCGUUUGCGGGGUGUGUAGGACGAGGCCAGCGUAGUUUUCCAGUGUUGUUUGCAAGGAGCAAGAUGUUAAUGUUUUCACUCGUUUUGAUUUUCAUGGGUACCCGUUUGAAUUGAUAUUUUCUCUUUGUUGUUGUGUUUGAGGAGUUUAGUCGAGUUCCCAACUUUGUAAAAUAAAUAAAAGUAUGUUUGUUUAAUAAUCCCCGUUGAACGCUGAUAUAUAGUUUUGUCCGAACUUAACACAACUCUUGACCAAGGUACGGGUUGGCAAGCCUUAGGCCGAGGUCGAGAGGGACGUAUAGUGGCCGGACUGGUUGAGACUUUGAAUUUGUUUAAAGUUUUGGCUGGACUGAUUACGGUACUCGUCAAAAUUGUGAUGCUUCUAGGUUGUUCUGGGUUAGUCCGGCCUAGGAUGCUCCAGGGUGUUCAAAUGGUGGUAUCAAAGCAUGGUUGAGAUACCGUGCUUUCGUUGGUGGGUUUUCAAAUGUUUUAUCGAGUCAAAAAGAGUCGCAAACAACAUCACUAGGGAACUGGCACGUCAUCUGCUUAGGACUAGGUAUGUUAGAUCAGCUUUUGGGAAUUUAGGACCUCACCCUUAUCUUGUGUUGCAGUUUCUGGUGUUGGUAAUCGACAGGGUGGGAGUAGAUCGAGGAUGAGGAAUGUGGUACAGUUACGAAGAGUUGGGCAAGUGUCUGGAGCAGCCGGUUAUGAUGGGUCAAGUGAAUCGAGCUCAUCCAGCGAGUCAAUGUCUGAUUCCAACUUUGAAAAUGAGAAUGUGGUCAAGAGCACCGAGAGUUCGCACGUGACCGUGUCAUCCAAGUUUGAGGAAGCUGGGGUACUUGAAGAGAUUGAAGAAGAAUCUGUUCAUUUGGAGGGUAUAAACUUUUCCAAGGCAUGGAAGCCAUUCCGCAAGCAUCAUCCGACUCAUUCAACUUCCAGUACGGUUAUGGCAAUGAGUUAUGGGAGGCAAUGGAGAUCAGUUCAUCCGAUGUGGAGAUCAUUGAACCACCACCGCCGGAAAUCAUCGAGAUCUCAUGAGAAAGCAUGGUGGCUGUCAACAUUGUGGACAUCAGUUCCCGAGAGACCAGUCCGUGGAUCCCAAUACCAGCUUGGAGUCAAGCGUUCUCAUUUGGAGGCUCUAUCGAUUUCAGCUUGGAAAGUAUUGGGCAAUCUUUUGACCCACACUACGAGUACCAUUACUCGCCAAUGCCAAUGGUGUCAUCACCAGCCAAUCCAGAAGCCGAAAUAGAAGCAAGGAAAGUGGACAUGGACGUUCAACAAGAGACCGAAAGGGAAGUUCAGAUGAUGGAGGGUACUCAGAAAGGGAUGACCAGAACAAGUGGAGCUCUAGGAGGACAAGUGGAAAAAGGGGGUACUAGUGGAGGACCAGCAUCAAAUAUUAAACUCUCGCGACAUUCUAACCGGGAAGAAAUGCAAUGUGUGUGGAACAGGUGACCAUCAUACUUGGGCGUGCACCAGGAUUAGGAGUCAGCCGGACUUGAAUGCUUACCUGAUCUGCAGCUCGUGUGAAGCUCAUGGACACUUCGUAGCGGAUUUUCCAAUGACCAGCGUGAUCCGAGCCGUACCCAUCUCUGUCAUUCUCCCUGCCAGCCCGGCUUGAUCAGCCUCAUCUGCAACGGGAGGAUCGAACCGUAGAAACCAUGGCCAUUCUAUGAACCUCGUCGUUGAGCUCGUGGGAGCUAAAGUUUGUGAGUACUGAUCCUUCUCUUUGCGUGUUGUGGCUGUUGUUUUGUUUUGUUGUUGUGUUGCGUGUGCAAUUUUCUUUGUUGUGGCGUUGAGGAUUGUGUGUCCGGGUAGCAAGUGUUGUUUAGUGUGUAGACCUUGCUAAGUUGAGGUAGUUAAGCUUCGCCUUAGGGAACCUUGUUUUUGUUUAGGAGAGAGUGAACCCUAGAGUUUAGGAAGCCAACCCUUAUUUAUAGCCAUGUGAUGUUUUGUAAGUGUUUGUGGUGUCAGAAGGACACAAACCUUGACAAGGUGUACUCAGGAAGACUCGUGCGUGCAUGAAAAAAAUCUAGAAACAGAGGUGACCGUGGUAAAGACCAGCAGCGAGUAUGCAAGACCAAAGCAAUCAGUGGUCGAGUUAGUGAAGAAGCAACCGAGACAGUAAUGGAAAUGUGAAGGCUAGAGUGUAUGGUGUAUUUGGAAUGGUGAUGCCUCAAGGAGUCAAAAGUUAUUGAAGAGGAAAAAGCCGAAGAGUCAAAGAAGAGAUGUCAAGUGAAAGACCAAUCCGAAGAAGUCUAGUGGUGAAGCCCAAACGGUGAAAAGCCAAGAGAAAGAAUGUGACGAGCAUAGAAGAUGAAGCCUAAUCAGGUGUAAGACCAGAGGAGGAUGAGACACUACAGGAAAUAAGGGUUUUGAUGGCACCGCUAAAGCGCUAUAAGACGCUACCAUAGCGUUGUAGAAAGCGCUCCAAUAUCGCCCGCGAUAAUAGGUCUCGUACAUUUCAUAGCGGAUUUUUGUUGUGCUAUUGAUAUUUUAUUAUUAAUAGCGGUUCUUGUUAUGCAAUUGUAAAUUUGUAUUAUAGCGUCGCCAAAAUGAUAUUAUAACUUUUUAACUAUAGCAUUUUUUAAAAUUAAAUAUAGCGAUUUGUAAUUACUAUUGUCGUCUUCUAUCAAUAGCAAUAUUUGAACAUUUCAUUGCAUUUUUUUAUAUGCAAUUGUUUCAUUUUGUUUAUAACAAAUUUUAUUUAAUA